ACAUGCCUACAACAUAGCAUUAAAGCAUUGCAUCCCAUUAGAAAUACACAGUUAAGUGCACUCAUGAUAGAGUAGUACUGGGUGGGUGAUUUCUCAAAAAGUCCUAGUUUUUUACUUGAC
rnacentral:rRNA from 1 species